AUUAAGCUGUUAGACGGAUAGCUUGGCUUGAGUUGCGAUGAAGGACGUGGCAAGCUGCGAUAAGCCUUGGCGAGCUGCAUGCGAGCGUUGAACCAAGGAUUUCCUAAUGUGAGAACAUUAUCAUCCGAUAAUUCCGAGAGGAAAGCAUACGCGGGGAAUUGAAACAUCUUAGUACCCGCAGGAAAAGAAAAUAAAUUAAUGAUGCCCCUAGUAACAGCGAGCGAAAAGGGCAGAGGGCAAGCUGAAUCUUUCUUUGAAAAGAGAAUAGAGAUGUGGUGAGGAUAAAUGCCUAAAUAUUUUUAUUGAAGUUCACUGGAACGUGAUACUGCAAAGGGUGAUAGUCCCGUAAAUAAAAAUGUAUGGUGUUCCUUAAAAGAGUAGUGUAUCCUGGAUUGGAUGCAUGAAUAUGGCAGGAUUAACUGCUAACCCUAAACAUAAACUCAAGUCCGAUAGCGCACUAGUACCGCGAGGGAAAGCUGAAAAGUACUUGUAACAGAGAGUUAAAAGACUUGAAAUCUAACAGUCACAUUUUGUUACGGCAUUACGGUGUUGUAACGUACGUUUCGAAAAAUGGGCCAGGGAGUUAUGUUCUGUGGCGAGACUAACUAAUGGGAGUCGUAGCGAAAGCGAGUGUGAAAACGCGUGAGUCACAGGAGGUAGACCCGAAGCCAGAUGAUCUAAUCAUGAGCAAGGCGAAGUCUUUAGAAAUAGAGAUGGAGGCCUGAACCGUUGUUGUGUGCAUGCACUCGAAUGACUUGUGAUUAGGGGUGAAAAGCCACUCGAAUCUGGCGAUGGCUGGUUCCGGUCGAAAUAUGCCUCAGUAUAGUCUUAUUUUGCUAGUACACGAGGUAAAGUCACGGAUGGGGUUUGCAGGACCUAAUGGUUACGGAACCCUUUCCAACUCAGAAUUUGUGUUCUGCAUAAAAUAAGAAACGGGGGCAGGGCGUAAGGUCCUGUUCCGAGACCCGAACAAGGGAGACUAAAGUUAAGGUCCCAAAAUAUAUGCUAAGUGUAUCGAAAGGAGUCUUAAACCUGAGACACUAGGGAGGUAGGCUUAGAAGCAGCCAUCCUUUAAAGAAAGCGUAACAGCUCACCUAUCGAGGUUUUAGGCCCUGAAAAUGGACGGGGCUAAGCAUAUUACCGAUACUUUAGAGGCACUCAGAUGAGUGUUCUGGUAGGCCGGCGUACUGUUUGCGUAGAAGCGUUCUCGAGAGAGUGCGUGGAGCGAUUAGUAAUGAAAAUCCUGGCUGGAGUAGGAUCAAAUUUUCCUGAGAAUGGAAAAGGCCGCAUGAGCACGGUUUCCUUAGCACUAUUUGUUAACUAAGGGUUAGUCAGUACCUUAGAUGUACCUUAACUGAGUACAUCGAUGGACAUCAGGUUAAUAUUCCUGAACUUGUUUAUUUCGCUAUGUUGAAAGAUUGCUUCCGGAUAGGUAGGGUCGCGAAAGUGGCUUUAUUACAGAAAUUUAUGGAUCGUAAUGAUAAGAAGUAGAAUAAUGUAAUAACGAAAACUAUUGAAUCCAGGGGCCAGUGAAAAGUUUUUCAAAUAGAAAUAAACUAGCUGUACCAAGAACCAACACAGGUGCUCUAGCUUAGUAGGCUAAGGCCUGAAAGGGAUAAUCUAAUUAAGGGAAUUCGGCAUAUUGGCCCCGUAUCUUCGGUAUAAGGGGUGUCUAUAUACGUUCUUGAUAAUGUAAAGUGCGUACGUAGAUCGCAGUGACAAGGACUGCCCGACUGUUUACCAAAAACGUAGCCGAGUGCUAAUCUGAAAAGACUUGUAUACUCGGUGAGACCUGUCCAGUGGUGGUGUCUGAAACUCCUUUUCAAGGGAGCUAAUGCCCAUUAAACGGCGGGGGUAACUAUGACCCUCUUAAGGUAAAAGAUUACGAUUGCCUUACAUUGAUUUUUAAUCAAUGCUCUAAGGGAAUAGUUAAAGUAAACAGAAUAAAAUAAACCAAAAUAGAGAAAAUCUAACUAAAUGCUGGAAAAUCCGAGGAUAUCUAAUUACUAAUUGAAAUAAAAUUCAAAAGUAAAAAUAUUAGAUUGCGGACAAUCAGCAGGAAAGAUUUCUUAAUUAAUUUUAAGAAAAAUCCUCAGAGACUAUACGUUAGAAAUAAAAUAAAAAUUUAUUAAAAUAUAGUCCGAACAUUAUGGCGACAUAAUGAAGUUAUUAGAAAUAAUAACUCUUUCAAGAAAUUGAAUGUAACAUAAUUGAGCGUAAUACCUUGUCGUCUGAAUGGCGACUUGCAUGAAUGGUUUAACGAGGUGGUCACUGUCCCUAAUUAGAACCUUCUGAAAUCACUGACCGGUGAAAAUGCCGGUGACACCUAGUGGGAAGCUAAGACCUUGUGGACCUUUACUGCAGCUUGUUGUUGUGAUUCUUUAAAUGAUGCAUAGAAUAAGUAGGAGCGUCGAGAUCAUCAUUUUGGUGGUGAUGGAGCAAAAGUGUAAUACUACUCAUCGUUUAAGGGACCACUAACUCUUGCAAGAGAGGACAGCGGCAUGUGGGCAGUUUGGCUGGGGCGGCACCCUGUAGAAAAUAUAUCUAUAGGGCACAAAGAUGAGCUCAUCUAGGGUGGAAAUCUAGAGUUGAGUGCAUGGGCAAAAGCUCAUCUGACUGUAUUCCGAACAGCAAGGAAUGCAGGAACGAAAGUUGGUCCAAGCGAACCUUCGAGAACAUUUAAUAGGUUCCGAAUGUGACAGAAAAGGUACCCCAAGGAUAACAGGCUUGUCGCGCCCGAUAGUCCGUAUUGACGGCGCGGUUUGGUACAUCGCUGUCGGCUCUUCCUAACCUGGUGGUGCAUAAGC
rnacentral:rRNA from 1 species